GUUUGUUGGGCUAAGAUUUGCAAAUAUAAAAUAGUGAUUCUCUAACCUAAGUGAGAUAGACAUUGGAACUGAAAUUUCAGCAUCCUUUGGCUGGGUGAAGGAGAGGCUUGUAAAGGUACCUAGGUUCUCAAAUGAUUCUCAAAGAUGCAGACCACUCCUUUUCUGUAGUUGAUAAUCACUGCUGCUGCUGCUAAGUCACUUCAGUCGUGUCCGACUCUGUGCGACCCCAUAGACGGCAGCCCACCAGGCUCCCCUGUCCCUGGGAUUCUCCAGGCAAGAACACUGGAGUGGGUUGCCACUUCCUUCUCCAAUGCAUGAAAGUGAAAAGGGAAAGUGAAAUUGCUCAGUUGUGUCUGACUCUUAGCGACCCCAUGGACUGCAGCCUACCAGGCUGCUCCACCCAUGGGAUUUUCCAGGCAAGAGUACUGGAGUCAGGUGCCAUUGCCUUCUCCUGAUAAUCACUAGUGUAAAACAAAUAUGAUCUAAUUUGGAGGUGGGAGAAAGGCUAAUCUGCAAAAUAGUUUAAAAAAAAAGGUAAUAAAACAUGCAUGCUGGGAUGCUAAAUAUAAUUAAUAUCCCUUAAAAAUGCUUAAUGUCAUUGGGCAAAGGAGGACCAGUGGGAUGCUGUCAUCCUGUACUCUAGGAUGGGGUAGCCCAAGGGUCAGGGGAGGAGGCAAGGAGAACCAGUUCAGGAAGACAAAGCUGGAGUCAAUGGGAGGAUGCUUGGGGUUGGGGAGCGGGGUGUUACAUGGUGUUCUAGAGCCGUCUCAACCCAAGAGAGCCAAGCAUUAAAUUUCUAGGAAUUUUGUAAGCCAGCUUUUGUGAAAUAUUAUGAAGAAUUAAAUUAUAUAAACUUAAAGUAAGUCAGUGAUCUUAAAAACAAAAGUAAUAAAUAGAACUUAUUGCUUCCUAAUAAGUUUCCCCCAUAGAUCGCUAUUUUCUAUGCUCUUGAGGUCUGCCUGUUGUAUUUGAACUAUGGAAAUACUAUCUAAUGGUGCCUAUUUCUUCCUAACUACAUACUCCAUGAUGCCGUGUUGGCGGCUUGAAAUCAGCCAGGAUGGGAACAUUUAUAUUGGUGAAUGAUAAAAAUUGGGGGGCUUUUUUACUCAUUUGAGAGCCAGUUCUUAAAAUUCCCUGGGCAGACACUGGAUUUGGGGAUGGAGCUAAAGAACUGGGAAAUGUUGAAUGAAAAAAAAGUCAGAAGAUUGAGUUGCAUAAGGAAAAUAGGUUCGUCUUCCUGGAGAGAGGGCAUUCAGGUAGGCAGAGGGUUUACAGUUGAUUUAGAAAUCUUUGGGAACUAUUGAAUAUCUUUAAGAGUUUUUAUUAUUAUUAUUAUGGGCUUCUCUGGUGGCUCAGAUGGUAAAGAAUCUGCCUGCAGAACAGGAGACCCAGGUUUAAUCCUUGAGUGGGACGAUCUCCUGGAGAAGGGAAUGGCUACCUACAUCAGUUUUAUUGCCUGGAGAAUUCCAUGGACAGAGGAGCUUGGUGGAUGUUCACUAUGGGAAAUUUGGAAAAUAGAAUAAUAACUUGUAUUUCCAUAAUGCUUUCUAGAGCACUUUUGAGUGCUUUAAAUAGAAUAAAUCAUGAAAUCUUGUUUACAGCCUCAUAAAAUAGUUGGUAUUAUCCCAUUUUAAACACAGGGAAAUUGAAGUACAGAGACAUUGAAAAGUUUGGCUGUGUAGAGGAGAUCUGACUGGAGAGCAGGCCGUCCCACUCUGGGGCUUCCUUGGUGGCUCAGUGGUAAAGAACCCGCCUGCCAGUACAGGAGAUGCAGACUUGAUCCCUGGAUUGGGAAGAUGCCCUGGAGAAGGAAAUGGAAACCCACACCAGUAUUCUUGCCUGGGAAAUCCAGUGUACAGAGGAGCCUGGCGGGCCACAGUCCAUGGGGUCACAAAAGAGCUGGACAUGACUGAGUGGCUCAACAGGUCCUGCUUUGGCGUUUGCCAUGCUAUUCUGACACUCGGUGGAGAAAAUGACAGCCAGCUUAACCCCGCCACCUGGAGAAUCUGAGAAACUGGACCAAGAGUGGGAUCAUUUAGGAGGGAGAUGGAGACUCUUUCGGUUGCAGACAGGGUUUGAGUUGUAGGGAAUCAAAAACAUGAGGCUCCCAUAGCAAAUCAGCCUGGAAAAUCAAUGGUGCCCGAUUCAGAGACAGACAAUACCUGGAUGUGGUCUCGAGGAAAGGCGAAUCAUCACAGGCUUAAGCAGAGAGAGGAGUCUUAGGGAGAAUUAAACUUUAGGAAAAAAAACAUGCAAACAGAAAAAGAGGCAGUGAAUGAGAGAAUGAGCAAGCGGAAAGAGGUGGGGAGGACAGGAGGCAUAAAAGCCAGUGUCAGGAAGAUAAGGAGAGUUUGGGGAGGAAGGAGCUGAUUCACAAUGCCAAGGGCUUCAGUGAGACUUUAUAAUGGUAAUGGAAUAAUUUGUUGUCAAAACUGAAUUGCUUUACAUGUGAAGGGGUGUGGGGGCUAUUAAUUUGGGGUUGCCCCAAAAGUUUGUUUGGGUUUCCCAUGAGAUGUGUGAUGCCUUCAGAUGCACAAAACUGGCAGAUUUCUAAGAGUUCGUGAUAAUGGGGAAUGGAACCUCUUUAACCAGCAUUUACUAAGCAUCUUCCAUGAGGACUGCUAAGGGCUGAGGAUAAAGAGACAUAUGGCAAAGUCACAAAGUGUUUUGUGAAGGGAAAAAAAGACAGAAGCACAAUCAUCUUUUGCCACGCACACCCAGCAGUCACUCUUCACAGUUUUUUUAAUAGCUUUUUCUACAAAUUCUAAUAUUUGUUGAAAUUCUGAUCUAACUAGUUUCAUUUUCAACUCAACCAUGUGACAUAUAGGUCUGAAGUUUACUUAACAUAUCUUCUCUUUAACAAGUAUGUGUUUAUUAAAGGUACCCCUUAGAUGGACAUACCAUAACAUAUAUAACCCUUCUCUUAGUGAUACGCAGUCAACCCUUUUACUUUUUUGAGUUUUCAGUAUUGCUAUGUAAUUUGUUUUUUAUUCUUGUGCUUUUAUUCCUGUGGGAUAGAUACCUAGAAUAGGAUUACUGAGGCACAGUAUAUCUGCAUUUUCAGUUUUAUAAGAAACUGUCAGUGGAUCGUUAGAAAGUUACAUAAAUUAUACAUAUAAAACGUAUGUGUUAUAAACCAAUAUAAACAUUGUAUAAGUUAACACAUCUACCAACAUUGUACGACUAUCAAUUUCCCAGUUAGCCACGGUUCUAUCAGACUUCCAAUGUUUUUGCCAAUUUGCUGUUGAGAAGUGGUGUUUUAGAGUCAUUUCAAUCUACAUUUUAAAAAUUGUGAAUGAAGCUAAGCAUCUGUUGUGAUGUUUAUUGGUCAUUUAUAUCUUUUUUUAGUGAAUUUGCGUUUUCAGAUUCUCUUGGCAAUUAUUUGUAUUGAAAUCUUCAUCAUUUUCCUUAUUUGUUAUCACUGUUUUCACACUAAGAAUAUUAAGCCCCGUUUCUCUUAAAUGUGUUGCAGAAAUCUCUGUUUUAUUUUACCUUUGGUUCUCUUUUGUUUGGAGAAGUAGUUGAAUAUGUUUAUUUUGAUUUUGGGUGUGGGUGGCUUCAUGUUUUCUCUUCUAACUUAGAUUGGAUCCCUCCCCAAAACAAAGAAAAACAGUAUUUCUUUUAUUCUUAAUCUUCUUAGAAAAUCUUUUUAUUUUGUAUUGAGGUAUAGCCAAUUAACACUGUUGUGAUCAUUUCAGGUGAACAGGGAAGGGACUCAGCGAUACAUGUACAUGAAUGCAUUCUCCCCCAAACUCCCCUCCCAUCCAGGCUGCCGCAUAUCAUUGAGCAGAGGUCCCCAUGCUGUGCCUGAGGAAGACAGCUGCAGAAAAUGGGUAUUUCCAUGUUACCUGCUUGGGGCUCUGAGGGAUAACCGAGCGCUGUGGGUCCCCAGAGGCGGCUUCUUAGAAUGCUGGCAGAGGAGAGGGAGGGGUGUGUCUGGGCUUCCCAAGGGGUUGACAUCUGAGCUGAACCCUUAAGGUUGAGGCCGUGGAGGUAGGGAGGGUUUCCAGCUGAGGGAAAUGGCAAGUCAAAGAGAUUUGAAAACUUUGAAAAGUCAGGAGGCUUUACAAAGCAAGGAAAGAGAAGCCCCUGUGGUUUCUCAGGGUGGGUCAAGGGAAAGCGUUUUUAAUAUGAGGGGAAAAUGAUUUUUCUUAAUUCUUUAAAAUUUCCACCCACACACACACAAAUGAUUAUUACUUUUAUGAGAAAUAAGGAAUUUUAAGCUGAAGGAAGCUCUAAGAAUUGGAUUAAACAAAGUAAAUAAUAAAUGAAUAAAGAUAAGAAGCCCCUCCCCACAGAAGUAUUAGGGAUUGGAAUCAGUGUGCCUUACUUUGGGACCAGCUGGUGACACGUUCCUCCUAGCUGAAUGUGACCUUCAACCUCUCAACUUUCAAGCCUCACUGAGGGCCACUCUAGAAUAGAAACUGAAGUCGCUCAGUCGUGUCUGACUCUUAGCGACCCCACGGACUGUAGCCCACCAGGCUCCUCCGUCCUUGGGAUUUUCCAGGUAAGAAUACUGGAGUGAGGUGCCAUUUCCUUCUUCAAAAUACCAUCCUGUUAUCUGUAACAAGGUCCUUCCUGCCUUACUGGGCAGAUGAAACCUCCACGCAUUAUCACACCACUUAUUUCUAGCUCCAUUGCACCAUUGUGUUCUUCUGAUCUUCACAUUAAAAGGCAUAAGUGCAUUUCACAAUAUAUACAAAACUCAAGUCAUUGUGUUGUGUACCUGGAACUAGUGCAAUGUUCCAUUAUCAAGGAUAUCUCAAGAAAAAAAAGAAAAGUAUAACUAUUUGUAUCCUCCACCCACAUGCUUCACACUUGCAAUUCCUUCUGCUUGGGAUGCCCCAUAUCAUUCUGUCAGGCCUACCAGGAUCACACCUAUUCUUAAAGGCUCAGCCUAAACUUCACCUCCUUCCUUCAGCCUUCCCUGAUCUCUUCUGCUAGAAAAGCCCUGGAUGUGGAAAUGUACACUGGGACCAUUUAAGACUCAUCCUAAAACAACAAAGUGUUUCAGUUGCGUCCAACUCUUUGUGAUCCCAUGGACCAUAGCCCGCCAGGGUCCUCUGUCCACGGGGAUUCUCCAGGCAAGAAUACUGGAGUGGGUUGCCAUGCCAGAGGGAUCUUCCCGACUGAGGGAUCCAACCUGAGUCUCCUGCAUUGGCAGGCGGGUUCUUUACCACUGAGCUACCUGGGAAGCCCCAUGUAAAUAUAGUUUUAAAUAUAGAUAAAACUUGCAGAAAGGCAAGAACCAUGUCUUACUCUUCUUGGCAGUUCUCAGGCCUUUAACACAGUGAAGUUUCAGUUUCAUCCUCCUUUAAAAAAGGCCAAGAAGAUCAAGCUCAUCUGUACAAACAGACCUGUGGACCACAUAAGGCAAGGACGGAUGAGGGGUAAGAGUACCUGUGGAAUAGUCAGAAUGGAAAGUCAUUUCCUGAAGACAGGGGUUAGGAGCUUGAGGAGAGAGUUAUUUUAAAGAAACCUCAGAAGGAAGUGAGGCCGGGAAUGCACCGAGGAUCCGUAAAUGAAUCACCUCGUAUUCUUGGUGGAUGGCCAAGCUGAAUUUAGACGGAAUGAAUGGAUAAUGAGCCACGUUUGCAUCUUCCUUCGCCUCUGGUGACCAAAGAGUGAUGUGGAUAACAGAAGAGACCUGAGACUAUCUGAAUCGGAAAGAAAAAGGGGGAGCAGAGGGUUUCAAGAUGCAGGCGAAAAAGAAGGAUGCCUGCUCCAUGGGAGAAGUGAGUCAGAGAGGUUCUUCAGAAGGGAUGUGAGUCAGAAAGGAAGGUUACAUAAUAAACUUGGCAGCGUGUCUGUGACUGAGGACAGUGGUGAGAACGCCGACCUGGUCUUUGUGAGGAAAGAUGUCCAAGGAAGCCAUGUGGUGCCUUAUAAUUUGAGUGAGGUCAGGGUGAUAUGUGUGGGUGGAGAGUGUUGAGGAGGGUUCUACGGGCAGGGCGUCAGACAUGGUUUCUCUGAGGACAUUGGGAGGAUGAGGGCAUCACAGAUGAGGCUUAGAAAGAGAUCACAGAUUUAACACCUUCACAGUUGAAUAGCAUCUUCAGUUGGGAAGGGAGGUCUGUUGUAAUCUUCUCAUUUAGCCUUUAGGGGAAAAAAAUAAAUGCCUAAAAUGCUUCAUGUCAUCUCCCAGACAGACUCGCCGCCUCUGCCACCCCGCCUCCACAGUCCGCUCUCUGCCCUGUCUCUCUGUUCUCUCUCUAAACUCCAACCAAGCCAAUGUCCAAAGUCUUAUGCCAUUUCUCAUUCAUGCCUACAGCUCUCUCGGUCUGGAAUAGCCUUUUUCUUUGCCUAACUCCUUUAAAACCAUAGGUCUCAGCUUAAAAACAGUCUUAAAGCAUCCUCCGUCCCCCCACCCCCACACACUAGUUUGAAAGGCCUUCCUGACACGCGUCCAAGCAUUUCUCUCCUAUUUUUAACAUUUGUGGGACAAGUUGUUCCUUCUUGACUGUCCCUUUGCUUUUCUAGAUUGUGAGUUCUGUUCAGUCACAUCUUGUAGGACUGUACCAGCCGCAGAGAAGUUGCCCAGUAAACAUCUCCUAUGUGAGUGUAGGAAGGAAGAAAUGUACAUUUAAGGGAUAUAUUUUCACCAUCACUUGUUGACCGAGCCUUCCAUGCUUCUUCUGAAACUAACUAUACUCAAACUUGACUCCAGUGUGACUUGAACAUCCCCACGCAGGUCUGGGAAAGCAGGGUUACCGUUCUGCUAGUGUCUUACCCGUUUCUAGCGUACAUUUCAGUGACAUCAAGUCCAUUCACGUUGUUGUGUAGUCAUCAUCACUACCCAUCCCUAGAACUUUUCAUCACUUCAAACUCUGUGUUCAUUAACAUUAAUUCUCCAUGCCCACCUCCCCCUAGCCCCUAGCACGUACCACUCCCCUUUCCAACCCUAUGAAUUCGGUUACUCUAAAUACUUCGUGUAAGUGGAAGUAUAUAACAUUGCCUGAUAUAUUUCAUUCACCAUAAUAUUUUCAGAGUUUAUCCAUACUGCAGCAUAUAUCAGAAUCUUUUAAAACUGAAUAACAUUUCAUUGUAUGUCUGUACCAUAUUUUGUUGUUCCAUUCAUUCAUUGAUGGACAUUUGCAUUGUUUUCACAGGAGCAUGGUGAUACACCCUCCAUCACGUAAGCUGGUAGCCUGUGGGAUGGUCAGUGGUACAGAGUGUAGUGGAUACAAGCAAGGGAGGAAGGAUAGAUGAAGGAAAUUAUAAUAUGCAUGGCAGGACCUACAAAAAUAUCCAAGAACAUGGAGAUUUAGACUGGAGGGAGAAGAAAUGUUUCAGUUGGAUCAUAGCAUCCUUGAUAGGAAGAGGGUGUUGGAGAUGGAUACCACAGGUUUCAAGUGAUAGUAAAGUUUGAGAAGUAGGUUUGAGAGAGACUAAUUUUUUCCCUUUCCAUUGUUAUCAAGAUAAAAGAACAGAAUGAAUGCAGAGGAGCAGAAAAGAAGGUUUCCUUUGAAAGGAAAACCUGGGGGAAAGAGGUGAGAGAAGGAUGGAAGAAAAAGGGGAAUUUGGGCACAGUGUAAUGCCUUUCCACAGGGUACAGGGGUAAGAUGUAAUGGUGGAGGAGAGCAAAGCAUGUAUUAAAUCAAAGCCAUCCCACUAUCUUCAUGAAGGAAGGAGCUCAAUGAAUAUGAUCUGUAGUUAAUGACAACCUGAAGACAGUGACCCCACAGCCACCAUCAGGCACCAAUCCCUCAUGUUCAACCCAACAAGUUCAGAAAUCUUUUCUUGACUUCUCAGUCGCUGGAGAAGAAUUAUUCAUACUCAUUCCAUCAAAAUCCCUCACAUGCCUAAAUUCUUUCUCAGUUCAAGAUCAGAACAGGAUUAAACUCUUUUCCCUUAACAACUUCUUAGUUACAGUUUUCUAAGCCUUUAAUGCCCUUUGAAUUGUCUGUUCUGAGUUCUCUUGGGUUAAAGUACAGUCAGCCCUCUGUAUCCACGGGUUUUGCAUCUGCAGAUUCAGCCAACUGCAGGUAAAAAUGUUCCCCCAAAUUCCAGGAAGUUCCAAAAAGCAAAACUUGAACUUACUGCUCAAAGGCAACUAUUUAAAUAGCAUUUACUUUGUCUUUCUGUGUAUUUGCAAUUGUUUGCAGAGCAUUUACAUUGUAUUAGGUAUUGUAUUAGGUAUUAUAAGCACUCUAGAGAUGAUUUAAAGUAUAUGGGAGGAUCUGUGUAGGUCUUAUGCAAAUAUUGGGUUGCUAAAAAAGUCUGUUUGGAUUUUUCCAUAAGGUGUUAUGGAAAAACCCAAACAAACUUUCUGGAUAAUCAAUAUUAUGCAUGUACACACACACAGACACACCCAGACACACACACACCCA
ensembl:lncRNA